rnacentral:lncRNA from 1 species
UUUUAUAUAAACUAGAAUAAUUAUUAAUUAAUAUGCAUCCAUUGAUUCCACAAUUCCAUUCCAUUCUUGCCGCGCCCUUUGAAGAAAAAGGGAGGGAAAAUGAAAAUUAUAAAAAAAGCUGAAAAUGAAACAAAAAAGAGGGAAAGAUGGGUCGGCUGCCGCCCUUUGAAGAAAAAGAAGGGAGGGAAAAAUGAAAAUUAUAAGAAAAGCUGAAAAGGAAACAAAAAAUAGAGGGAAAAUGAAAAUUAAUAAAAUUGGUGAGAAAUUUUUAUUUUUUUUAAGUUAUUAACUUUUUAUCACACAUAUCCCACUAUUAAUGAUACGUGAUGUACUACUCUGUGUACCGGUCAAUUAUACGUACAAAAUAAAUAUAUUUAAAUCUACUUAAUAUAUAUAUAUAUACACACACACCAUUGAACUUGAUGAGAUACGAAUUAUACGAAACUAAUUUCAACGAUCCAACCGUCGAACUUAUUUGUAUAUGCUUCGAGAUCGUAUUAGCAAAAAAUCGCAAAAAACAAACAUUCAAAGAUAAAGUAACGGAACAAAACUUUUCGAUGGUUAUAAAACGAAAAAUCACGAUUUAACGGUUAUUACUCCGAUUUUGAUUAGUUUUUAUAGCUUCAAUCCUUAAUCCAAUAUGAAUACAACGAAUGAAUUCCAUCUUCAAUUCAAAAUAUUUACACUAGUGGAUACUUAAUGAAAGUAUGAAUAAACUCUUAAGUAUUAGUGAAUCUAUUGUUUUGAUGGGAUACUCAUUCUACAAAACUAGUUUCAAUGAUCCAACCGUCAAACAUGUUUGUAUAUACUUCGAGAUCGCAUACGCCAAAAAAUUGCAAAAAACAAACAUUCAUAGAUCAAGUAACGGGACAAAACUUUUCGACGGUUAUAAAACGAAAAAUCACAAUUUAACGGUUAUUUUAACUCUGAUUUUGAUGAUUUUUUACAGCUACACUCCUUGACACUAAAUGAAUACAAUGGACGAAUUCAAUCUUCAAUUUAAAAUAUUUGCACUAGUGGAUACCACAAAAUCUUAUGUUAUACUUAAUGAAAAUAUGAAUAAACUAUUAAAUAUUAGUGAAUCUAUUGUUUUAAUGGGAUACUCAAUCUACGAAACUAGUUUCAAUGAUCCAACCGUCAAACAUGUUUGUAUAUACUUCGAGAUUGCAUACGCCAAAAAUUGCAAAAAACAAACAUUCAUAGAUCAAGUAACGGGACAAAACUUUUCUACGGUUAUAAAAAGAAAAAUCACGAUUUAACGGUCAUUUUAACUCCGAUUUUGAUGAUUUUUUACAGCUACACUCCUUGACCCUAUAUGAAUACAAUGAUUGAAUUCGAUCUUCAAUUUCAAAUAUUUACAUUACUGGAUACCACAAAUCUUAUCUUAUACUUAAUGAAAGUAUGAAUAAAACUUUUAAGUGUUAGUGAAUCUAUUGUUUUGAUGAGAUACACGCAUUCUACGAAACUAGUUUCAACGAUCCAAUCGUCAAACAUGUUUGUAUAGACUUCGAGAUCGCAUACGCCAAAAAUUGCAAAAAACAAAUAUUCAGAGAUCAAGUAACGGGACAAAACUUUUUGACGGUUAUAAACGAAAAAUCACGGUUUAAAGGUUAUUUUAACUCCAAUUUUGAUGAUUUUUUACAGCUACACUCCUUGACCCUAUAUGAAUACAAUGAAUGAAUUCGAUCUUCAAUUUGAAAUAUUUACACUAGCAAAAUCUUAUGUUAUACUUAAUGAAAGUAUGAAUAAAACUCUUAAGUAUUAGUGAAUCUAUUGUUUUGAUGAGGUACUCAAUCUACAAAACGAGUUUGAAUGAUCCAACCGUCAAACAUGUUUGUAUAUACUUAGAGAUCACAUGCGCCAAAAAUUGCAAAAAACAAACAUUCAGAGAUCAAGUAACGAGACAAAACGUUUCAACGGUUAUAAAACAAAAAAUCAUAAUUUAACGGUUUAACUCUAAUUUUGAUGAUUUUUUAUAGCUACACUCCUUGACCCUAUAUGAAUACAAUAAAUGAAUUCAAUCUUCAAUUUAAAAUAUUUACACUAGUUGAUACCGCAAAAUCUUAUCUUAUACUUAAUGAAAGUAUGAAUAAAUUCUUAAGUAUUAGUGAAUCUAUUGUUUUAAUGGGAUACUCAAUCUACGAAACUAGUUCAAUGAUCCAACCGUCAAACAUGUUUGUAUAUACUUCGAGAUCGUAUACGCCAAAAAUUGCAGAAAACAAACAUUCAUAUAUCAAGUAAUGGGACAAAACUUUUCAACAAUUAUAAAAAGAAAAAUCACGAUUUAACAAUCAUUUUAACUCCGAUUUUGAUGAUUUUUUGCAGCUACACUCAUUGACCCUAUAUGAAUACAAUGAUUGAAUUCGAUCUUCAAUUUAAAAUAUGCACACUAGUGGAUACCACAAAUCCUAUGUUGUACUUAAUGAAAGUAUGAAUAAAACUUUUAAGUGUUAGUGAAUCUAUUGUUUUGAUGAGAUACACGCAUUCUACAAAACUAGUUUCAACGAUCCAAUCGUCAAACAUGUUUGUAUAGACUUCGAGAUCGCAUACGCCAAAAUUUGAAAAAACAAACAUUCAGAGAUCAAGUAACGGGACAAAACGUUUCGACGGUUAUAAACGAAAAAUCACGAUUUAACGGUUAUUUUAACUCCGAUUUUGAUGAUUGUUUACAGCUACACUCCUUGACCCUAUAUGAAUACAAUGAAUGAAUUCGAUCUUCAAUUUGAAAUAUUUACACUAGCAAAAUCUUAUGUUAUACUUAAUGAAAGUAUGAAUAAACUCUUAAGUAUGAGUGAAUCUAUUGUUUUGAUGAGGAACUCAAUCUACAAAACGAGUUUCAAUGAUCCAACCGUCAAAUAUGUUUGUAUAUACUUCGAGAUCGCAUAGCCAAAAAUUGCAAAAAACAAACAUUCAGAGAUCAAGUAAUGGGACAAAACUUUUUGACGGUUAUAAAACAAAAAAUCAUAAUUUAACGGUCAUUUUAACUCUGAUUUUGAUGAUUUUUUACAGCUACACUCCUUGACCCUAUAUGAAUACAAUGAAUGAAUUUGAUCGUCAAUUUAAAAUAUCUACACAAGUGGAUACCACAAAAUCUUAUGUUAUACUUAAUGAAAGUAUGAAUAAACUCUUAAGUAUUAGUGAAUCUAUUGUUUUGAUGGGAUACUCAAUCUACGAAACUAGUUUCAAUAAUCCAACCGUCAAACAUGUUUGUAUAUACUUCGAGAUCGCAUACGCCAAAAAUUGCAAAAAACAUACAUUCAUAGAUCAAUUAACGGGACAAAACUUUUCGACGGUUAUAAAAAGAAAAAUCACGAUUUAACAGUCAUUUUAACUUUGAUUUUGAUAAUUUUUUGCAGCUACACUCCUUGACCCUAUAUGAAUACAAUGAUUGAAUUCGAUCUUCAAUUUAAAAUAUUUACACUAAUGAAUACCACAAAUCUUAUGUUAUAUUUAAUGAAAGUAUGAAUAAAACUUUUAAGUGUUAGUGAAUCUAUUGUUUUGAUGAGAUACACGCAUUCUACGAAACUAGUUUCAACAAUCCAAUCGUUAAACAUGGUUGUAUAUACUUCGAGAUCGCAUACGCCAAAAAUUGCAAAAAACAAACAUUCAGAGAUCAAGUAACGGGACAAAACUUUUCAACGGUUAUAAAAUGAAAAAUCACGAUUUAACGGUUAUUUUAACUCCGAUUUUGAUGAUUUUUUACAGCUACACUCCUUGCCCCUAUAUGAAUACAACGAAUGAAUUCGAUCUUCAAUUUAAAAUAUUUACACUAGUGGAUAUCACAAAAUCUUAUGUUAUACUUACUAAAAGUUAGAAUAA